rnacentral:rRNA from 1 species
AGUGAACGCUGGCGGCGUGCUUAACACAUGCAAGUCGAACGAGAACGGAAUAUAGCUUGCUAUAUUUGUCAGCUAAGUGGCGCACGGGUGAGUAAUGUAUAGAUAACCUGCCCUUAAGGAAGGAAUAACAGUUGGAAACGACUGCUAAUGCCCUAUAUGCCUUUAAUACAUAAGUAUACAAGGGAAACGCUUUAGUGCUUAAGGAUGGGUCUGUAUGGUAUCAGCUUGUUGGUGAGGUAAUGGCUCACCAAGGCUAUGACGCCUAACUGGUUUGAGAGGAUGAUCAGUCACACUGGAACUGAGACGCGGUCCAGACUCCUACGGGAGGCAGCAGUGGGGAAUAUUGCACAAUGGACGAAAGUCUGAUGCAGCAACGCCGCGUGGAGGAUGACACAUUUCGGUGCGUAAACUCCUUUUAUAUAGGAAGAUAAUGACGGUACUAUAUGAAUAAGCACCGGCUAACUCCGUGCCAGCCGCCGCGGUAA